rnacentral:rRNA from 1 species
AUUGAACGCUGGCGGCAUGCCUUACACAUGCAAGUCGAACGGCAGCACGGGUGCUUGCACCUGGUGGCGAGUGGCGAACGGGUGAGUAAUACAUCGGAACGUACCUUAUCGUGGGGGAUAACGCAGCGAAAGCUGUGCUAAAACCGCAUACGCCCUGAGGGGGAAAGCGGGGGAUCGCAAGACCUCGCGCGAUUGGAGCGGCCGAUAUCAGAUUAGGUAGUUGGUGAGGUAAAGGCUCACCAAGCCAACGAUCUGUAGCUGGUCUGAGAGGACGACCGGCCACACUGGGACUGAGACACGGCCCAGACUCCUACGGGAGGCAGCAGUGGGGAAUUUUGGACAAUGGGCGCAAGCCUGAUCCAGCCAUUCCGCGUGCAGGACGAAGGCCUUCGGGUUGUAAACUGCUUUUGUACGGAACGAAAAAGCCUUGGCUAAUACCCAGGGUCCAUGACGGUACCGUAAGAAUAAGCACCGGCUAACUACGUGCCAGCAGCCGCCGUAA